rfam:Helianthus annuus linkage group 8, whole genome shotgun sequence.
ACGACCUUACUUGAACAGGAUCUGUUCUAUAGGCUCGUACCUCUAUAUUCUUGAUUCCUAAGAAGACAGAAACCCAUAUCUGGUUGAUGAGCCGUGACCAUGUAACCAGAGCGUGAUUAACAGAGCUCAUGGUCUUGACCAUGGUUCGGUAGAGGAUUGUCACACCCCAACCGAUGGCGGAAACAUCGGGAUGAGACGAAGU